rnacentral:rRNA from 1 species
GACAGAGGGCGCAAGCGUUGUUCGGAAUUAUUGGGCGUAAAGAGCUUGUAGGCGGUCUGUCGCGUCUGCUGUGAAAAUCCGGGGCUCAACCCCGGACUUGCAGUGGGUACGGGCAGACUAGAGUGUGGUAGGGGAGACUGGAAUUCCUGGUGUAGCGGUGAAAUGCGCAGAUAUCAGGAGGAACACCGAUGGCGAAGGCAGGUCUCUGGGCCACUACUGACGCUGAGAAGCGAAAGCAUGGGGAGCGAACAGG